GAUGAAGAACGCAGCGAAAUGCGAUAAGUAAUGUGAAUUGCAGAAUUCAGUGAAUCAUCGAAUCUUUGAACGCACAUUGCGCCCCUUGGUAUUCCGAGGGGCAUGCCUGUUCGAGCGUCAUUUUAACCCCUCAAGCUCAGCUUGGUGUUGGGGCCUGCUGCACUGGCAGCCCUUAAAAUCAGUGGCGGCGCCAUCUGGCUCUAAGCGUAGUAAUUCUUCUCGCUAUGGAGUCCUGGUGGAUGCUUGCCAUCAACCCCCAAUUUUUCUAUGGUUGACCUCGGAUCAGGUAGGGAUACCCGCUGAACUUAAGCAUAUCAAUAAGCGGAGGA
rnacentral:misc_RNA from 1 species